rnacentral:rRNA from 1 species
UGGGGAAUAUUGGACAAUGGGCGCAAGCCUGAUCCAGCCACGCCGCGUGAGUGAUGAAGGCCUUCGGGUCGUAAAGCUCUGUGGGGGAUGACGAAUGCGAUGGGUGUUAACAGCGCCUGUCCCUGACGGUAAUCCCUUAGCAAGCACCGGCUAACUCCGUGCCAGCAGCCGCGGUAAUACGGAGGGUGCAAACGUUGCUCGGAAUCAUUGGGCGUAAAGCGUGUGUAGGCGGUCCGAUUAGUCGGAUGUGAAAUCCCUCGGCUCAACCGAGGAAGUGCAUCCGAAACGGUCGGACUUGAGUACCGGAGAGGAUGACGGAAUUCCCGGUGUAGUGGUGAAAUACGUAGAUAUCGGGAGGAACACCGGUGGCGAAGGCGGUCAUCUGGACGGAUACUGACGCUGAGACACGAAAGCGUGGGGAGCAAACAGG